AGUAAUUGCGACUUACUUGUUACAGCAGAAGCUUCAAGGUAGGAAAUCUAUGACCCAAAGCUCUCUCUCGAAAGUUAGAAUGUUUAAACUGAUCUUUAAAACUGUUGUUGAGGGGCAAUUUAUUUAAAAGCUUUUAUUUUAUGGUGUUGUUAGUGCUUAGCAUGCCUCAGGAUAAAGACUAGUUUUAUUGCAGGACCCUUGAGAAGAGGGGUGUAUAGCAAGUAACCAGUUUUCCGUGUGCCAGUAAGCAACAGUGAGAACACUCAGUGUAUUAGCUUAACUUUUUGUGGGAGUUAAAUUGAUGUUGGCAGGCUUUGCCUUUAAGGAAGUUCUUUUAAAUUUCCAUUUUCUUGAAGUUGGUUUGAUUGGCAGAUUUCCCCCCUCUCUUAAGGAUACAAUGAAACAUAUUCACUUCUCUUAUGAAAAUAUUCUUUUAAUAAACUACAUUCCCAUCCCCUAGAAAAAUGCCCAGCACACAGUAGGGGUACAAUAAAUGGUUUCAGAUUAAUUUCUUGUUAAAAUUAAUGAACUCUCUGCUUCUUUACUUGUAUAUGUAGAAUUUACACUCAUUGGAAUAAUAAAAUAGAAGUAAGCAACCGUGCAUUAAAAAGCUAUGAAAAGAUGAAGAGAAUAUGCCUUCAAAUGGGAAGGAAUACUUAACUGUGAAUAAGACCUAGUUCAACAUGGAACUUCCUGGUGGCCAAGUCAGAAGAGAAGCACAGAACAAAAACGGAGGCACAGAGAGGUCAAUUGAUUGGUCUAAUGACACAGAUCUAGCAAGUGGUGGAACCAGGACUGAAUCCAGAGAAUCUGGAAGACUACUCUGCCAAGACAUCUCAAAAAGUGUGUGUCCGGAAUUGGUGGGUUCUUGGUCUCACUGACUUCAAGAAUGAAGCCGCGGACCCUUGCGGAACUGUGAAGACUAGAGUGACCUUGGAGAUCUCAUCUGGAAGAUGGUAGAACUGCUAUCAGCCUGGCUUCCCAAAUGACCUCCUGGAUCACAGCUACCCAUGGCCUGAAAUGUUGACCUUGGAGUUGUUGCAUAGGAAAGAAAUAAACUUCUUUGUUC
rnacentral:lncRNA from 10 species